GAACUUUCCAUGAAAACAAUAGCCUGUGGUGAAACAGCUUGUCAUGGAUACUAAUGAAAAAUUGCCCGAGACAUCCUGAUGCGUUUCCUCCUGCAUUCAUUCUGCCCUUAAGGUCUGGGAAUUCACUGAACACAAAAAAUCUUAUUUUGCAGAACACAGGGAGAUUAACGUAAAUUCUGAAGUUCCCUGGUUUCCUUCGGGACACACCCAGAAAGAUUUAUCACCUUGACAAACGAUUGUGUGGAAAUUUCAGAACCUUGAAGAGGACGAUGCAUAAAAUGAUUAUAUCUGAAACUAUUUACCAUAGGCUCUGAAACAAAAUAUUUUAUAAUCUUUUUUUUUACCAAAUUCCAAAAUUAAAACUAUCGCAAAGCAAUGGCACAGUGCUUCCUGGAUUCAGUCUACCUUCUGGGAUUCAAGGAGGAGAAUGAAG